GCAACAAAGAAAACCACUGCUACAGAAAACACAUUUAUGUACUUUUACCCUUUACUUGAAACCUAUUAGUCACUGAGAUGUGAAGAGACUCACUGUAGUUUCUGCAGUUUACAUUGUGGAUCCUCCAGUAGAGCAGAGAGCAGCUUCACUCCUGAGUCUCCUGGUUUAUUAUCACUCAGAUUCAGUUCUGUCAGGUGUGAGGGGUUUGAUCUCAGAGCUGAAAUCAGAGCAGCACAGCCUUCCUC